GGGGCCUCGGGUUAACACUGCAGCUGCCAGACCAGCUCCCUGGCGGGCGGGGAGCAAGCUUUGACCUUUGGAACUGGUCACCGCAGCCCCAAUAUCUGCCCUGCCGUCAGAAAGCAACCUGAACACUUCCUAGUGAAUUGCAAUGUAAAGGUGACCAGCGCCGCCACUUGUGUGAUCUUAACUUCUCUUAGCCUCAGUUGCCUCAUCUGUAAAAUGGGUUUCAUUCAAGAAAUGAUUACCCACUGUCUACUUCGUGCUAAACAGCCUUGAGCCCUUGGGCUACAGUAAUGAAUAAAACCACUUGUGAUGCUCAAAGAGAUGUUCGGUGUCAUGCGCUUCUGAUGCUUAAAGAGAAGAUGAUCGGUGUCACACACAUCCAUGUGAAGAGACCACCAAACAGGGGACAGAAUCUCUCUAUGUUGCCCAGGCUGGUCUCCAACUCAUGGGUUCAAGCGAUCCUCCUGCCUCAGCCUCCCAAAGUGCUCGGAUGACAGGUGUGGGCAACCACACCCAGCCAAG
rnacentral:antisense_RNA from 1 species